rnacentral:lncRNA from 1 species
UUUAAUUAAAAAUUUAAAUUUAAAAUUUGAAUUUCAAUUCAAAUUUAAAUUCAGCUUAAAAUUUAAAUUCAAAAUUCUAAUUUCUCAUUAGUUUAAAAUUUUAAUUUUAAUAUUAUUUUUUAAUUUAAAUUUAAAAUUUUGAAUUUUUAUUUUUAGGGACUAAAAUGAAAAAUGUGCAAAGUUUAGAGACCUAAAUUGAAUGCAAAAGGUUGCCAAAUAGAUGCUAUCGUGGCAAUUUUGUUAAUUUUAACAGUUUUUUUAACGGUUGAGGCGUAAUUGUAAUAAAAUCAAGAGGUUAGGAACUCAAUUACAAAAAAGAAAUGGUUGGUGACUCAAGUGAAAAUUGGUGAGAAGGUUGAGGACUAGCGGUGUAAUUAACCCAUAAUAAUAUUAAUCCAAAUAUUAAAAAUGAUUAAAGGGAUUGAUCAAAGGACCAAAAAGUCGAAAGCACCAGAUACUCUAUGCUUCUGAUAAUAUAAUAGAUCUCCUCUCUCUCUCUCUCUCUCUCUCUCUAUAUAUAUAUAUUGUUAAAAAAAAAAAAGAAAAAAAGAUCACUUCUCACUAAACCCACUUCACUAUCUCCCUACUUCUCUCCUAAUUCACCAUUCACUCCACUUCUCCACCAUUCCCUCCACUUCUCUACUAUUUUCUCUACUUCGUCAUCAUUUCCUCCACUUCUCCAUCAUUCACUCCACUUCUCCACACCAUAGACCUCCACCAUCCUCUCUCUAUAUAAAAAGAAGUGAACAACAAAAAAACAAAGGGGAAUUCUACUCACAAAAAAUAAAGAAAAGAAGAUUAAAAAAAAGAGCAAAAUAGGAAGGUAGGUUUAAAUUCUCUCACUCUCAUUUUCUCUCUCUCUCCUCUAGUCAAAGUACCCCUAACAUCAAGCUUUCAACGCAUACCGGACUACAUGAAAAUCAGUUCGUGCUGUCGUCAACCACUACUACGACAGGUCACCAUCAACCAAUGAGAAACGACCGCUAGUCACCAUUCCUACACCGUCGCUGACUACCGUUGCCUCGUCAUCAUUGAUCCGAGAGUGGUGCACGUUCCCUUUUGCUGCUGUCGCAUCAUCAUCUACCAAGGAGGUGGCCACCUGCAUGCUAUUGCUAUGCCGACUACGACGACGAUCCGCUUGAUGCUUAGCCAUCGGCGGUGGAGGAAGGCAACAACGACAACGACAACGACAACGACAACGACGACAAUCUGCUUGACGCUUCGCUGUCAGCGGUAAAGGCGGCAACAACAAAGACGACGAUUUGCGUUGGUGAAAACUCAAAAAUUUAAAGUUUGAAUUUUAUUCUAUUUGAAUUUUGAAUUAUCAUUUAAUAUUCAUUGAUAUUUAUUAUCUUAUUUAUUUAUUUAUUUAAUUUCUUAGUGAGAAAGGAACUAACGGAAUAUUUCCGUNGUUCCGUUUCUUGCGCCAAAAGGAACUCAUUCCGUUGUGCGGUUCUGCUUCUUUCUCGUAAGAAAAAGAGCGUGAAUUCUCUUUUCCUUUCUUCAAUACUUUGAUCUCCUUUUUUCCUCCUCAUUGAAAGAUGAGAUUUAGAUAAUUUUGUUAAUCUUUAUCUAUUCAUCUAUUAUCUUUUACUAUUUGAACAUUCCCCUUAUCUACUGGGUGUUGAGAAUCUCCGUCAACCUCCUUCACGAUCGUGCUCGCAGGAGGAGGAAUUCCGGUCGUACCUUGGGGUGUUAUUUCCGAUUAAUCCCGCACGUAAGGACGGGAAUACGCCUUAGGGCAGUGCCUCGCACGCUUCCGGAUAAGAUCAAAUCUUUAUUGGAAUAUUUGCGUUUAUCUGUAAGUUGAUUUAUUUAUUGUUAUCACAAAUUUACUUAGAUUAUUAAUCACAAUCAGAUUUCUUUGCGGUAUUUGUUCCAACAAUCUAAGGCGUAAAUCCCUAUCUGAUUAUGAUUAAAUCUGACAAUGCUAAUCUGUCACGCCCCGGAUGUCUCGUUCCCCGGGCAAGUCGACAAAUCCGCCGUAUACAAAGGAAUUUUUUCUAUAUACGAAGCGUCGAAAGUACCUGUAGAUAUACAAUACUACAAACAGUAGUAUAGAGCUGCUCAAUAAACAAAAUCUAAACAACUGAGUUUCAUAUACAUAGUCCAAAUCCAAAAUACAUGGUUACUCGCACUGGCGAGUUAAGCAAGCUAUGUACACAAACUCGAAACAAAACAUCUACCUGCAGUAGGGNUGGGGUGUUAUUUCCGAUUAAUCCCGCACGUAAGGACGGGAAUACGCCUUAGGGCAGUGCCUCGCACGCUUCCGGAUAAGAUCAAAUCUUUAUUGGAAUAUUUGCGUUUAUCUGUAAGUUGAUUUAUUUAUUGUUAUCACAAAUUUACUUAGAUCAUUAAUCACAAUCAGAUUUCUUUACGGUAUUUGUUCCAACAAUUUGCUUAACGCUUUAUUGUCGACGGUAAAGGCGGCAAUGACAACGACGACGACCCACUUGACACUUAGCUGUCGGCGGUGGAGAAAGGCGGCGACGACAAUGACGAUCCGCUUGAUGCUAAGCCGUCGGCAGUAAAGGCGAUGACUACAACGACGAUCCACUUGAUACUUAUCCAUCGACGGUGGAGAAAGGCGACGCCAACGAUCCGCUUGAUGCUUAGCCAUCGGCUAUAAAGGCGGCGAUGACAACGACGAUGAUCCACUAGACGCUUAGCCGUCGGCGGUGGAGAAAGAUGGCAACGACAACGACGGCGACGAUCCACUUGACACUUAGACAUCGGUGGUGGAGAAAGGCGAUGACAAC